rnacentral:rRNA from 1 species
GAUGAACGCUGGCGGCGUGCUUAACACAUGCAAGUCGAACGGAAAGGCCCAAGCUUGCUUGGGUACUCGAGUGGCGAACGGGUGAGUAACACGUGGGUGAUCUGCCCUGCACUUCGGGAUAAGCCUGGGAAACUGGGUCUAAUACCGGAUAGGACCACUUCUUGGAUGUUGUGGUGGAAAGUUUUUUCGGUGUGGGAUGAGCUCGCGGCCUAUCAGCUUGUUGGUGGGGUAAUGGCCUACCAAGGCGUCGACGGGUAGCCGGCCUGAGAGGGUGUACGGCCACAUUGGGACUUACAUACGGCCCAGACUCCUACGGGAGGCAGCAGUGGGGAAUAUUGCACAAUGGGCGCAAGCCUGAUGCAGCGACGCCGCGUGGGGGAUGACGGCCUUCGGGUUGUAAACUCCUUUCGCUAGGGACGAAGCGUUUUGUGACGGUACCUGGAGAAGAAGCACCGGCUAACUACGUG